CCGAGUUGUCUGUAGCAUUGGGUUGCGCUGUUGUUUCGCUCCACUCCGGCUAUAGGCUCUUUUGCCUGGCUAGUCUGUUGUGGAUCCUCGUCCACAAGACCAUCUUUUAUCCUUUUCAGGCGGCACAGGGGAACCCGAGGUCGGGAUCCUGGCAAAGCGAAUCAUGGAAGAUGGAUGGAGAUGGCGUGUUAACAAAGUCAAGCAAAGGGGAUGCUGGUGCAAGUGACAAGAUGGCUCAAGGGAUCGGGAGCGAGAGAAACUUGUCGGUGACCAAUAUCGCAAGAUGAGGUACACGCGUCAAUAUCAGAGCGCUUCCUUAAGGUGUAAGAAAGUGGCGAGUAACGCUUUGAGAAGCGUGCAAAGGGUUUCAUGGUUUGGCCUCAAAACCGUGGGGGGACUAGAGGAGUACGUGGCACCGUCAUGAAGCUUGUGUCGAGGCAAAGCUAAGUCGUGAAGGCGUCGUGGUCAUCCGAUGGAUCAAGAGCAAAAUGGACGAUAAUACCCUCGUGGUAGGUAGGAGAGAAUUGGAAUGUGGUAGGUAGGAGGGGCACUUUGGGAACAAGAAAAUUUGGCUUCUAAGGAGUCUCCCUAUGCCUAUAAAUAGAGGGGUAAGGCUAGACGAGAGGGUGAACUAGCCACUUGAGCCCCUUGUGCCUAUUAUUUGUGAGCUUUGUGCUAGGGUUUUAUAGGAAAGGAGGAUGAGGGCUUAGCCUAUGUAUUAAGUGAGAGUUUUUUAGAGGAAAAUAUUUGUAACCUAUCUAAAAUAGGCUGAGCUCUGCUAGUAAUGAAGUUUAUUUUCCUUC